ensembl:lncRNA
GUGUAGUGUAGUGUGGUGUAAUGUAGUGUGGUGUAGUGUAGUGUGGUGUAGUGUGGUGUAGUGUAGGGUGGUGUAGUGUAGUGUAGGGUGGUGUAGUGUAGUGUAGUGUAGGGUGGUGUAGUGUGGUGUAGUAUGGUGUAGUGUAGUGUAGGGUGGUGUAGUGUGGUGUAGUGUAGUGUAGGGUGGUGUAGUGUAGUGUAGGGUGGUGUAGUGUAGUGUAGUGUAGAGUGGUGUGGUGUAGGGUGGUGUUGUGUGGUGUAGUGUAGGGUGGUGUAGUGUAGUGUAGGGUGGUGUAGUGUAGUGUAGAGUGGUGUAGUGUAGUGUAGUGUAGAGUGGUGUGGUGUAGUGUAGUGUAAUGUAGUGUAGUGUAACAGUGUUAUGUAGUGUAGUGUAGUGUAGUGUAGUGUUAUGUGGUGUAGUGUAGUGUAAUGUAGGGUGGUGUAGUGUAGUGUAGUGUGGUGUCGUAUAUUGUGGUGUCGUAUUGUGUGGUGUAGUGUGGUGUCGUAUAGUGUGGUGUCGUAUUGUGUGGUGUAGUGUGGUGUCGUAUAGUGUGGUGUCGUAUUGUGUGGUGUAGUGUGGUGUCGUAUAGUGUGGUGUCGUAUUGUGUGGUGUCGUAUUGUGUGGUGUAGUAUUGUGUGGUGUGUUGUGGUGUCGUAUAGUGUGGUGUCAUAUUGUGUGGUGUCGUAUUGUGUGGUGUAGUGUAGUGUAAUUUAGUGUUGUGUCGUAUAGUGUGGUGUCGUAUUGUGUGGUGUAGUGUGGUUU